GUCAGGGGUUCACCCCCUUCCCCUUGAACCCCCAAAAUUCUCCUCAAUUCUCCCAAACCUGUCCAAAAUUGCGUCCCCACACCGUCCUCACGCAGCCGCCAUUUUGAGACCAUUCCGAGCCUGUUCUGGAGCCAUUUUGGGGCAAUUUUGAGCCAUUUUGGGGCCGUUUUGAGCCAUUUUGGGGCCGUUUUGAGCCAUUUUGGGGCCGUUUUGAGCCGUUUUGGGGCCGUUUUGGGGCCGGGGGCCGGCGCCUGACGCGCCCCCCCCCUUUUGUCUCCCCCAGACAUGUCGAGCCGCGCCGUGUGCCGCCACUUCAUGCUCAAGGGCAGCUGCAGGUACGAGAACAACUGUGCCUUCUACCACCCCGGCGUCAACGGGCCCCCCCUGCCCUGAAACCCCCCAAAAACACCCCAAAAACACCCAAAACCACCCCAAAAUCCCCCCUCGGUUAUGGCUUCCGUGAGGCCUCGGAGGGGGACGAGGGGGCGGAGAAAGAACGGAGGAAAAAGGGGGAAAAUUCAAAUUAUUGGUGUUGGGGUGUGGUGGUGGUGGUGGAGGGGAUGGGGAGUGGAGAUUUGGGGUGAAAAUUGGAGAUUUGGGGUAGGAAUUGGGGUAAAACUGGAAAUUUGGGGUAGGAAUUGGACAUUUUUUGUAGAAAUUGGAGAUUUGGGGUGAAAAUUAUAAAUUUGAGGCAGGAAUUGGAAGUUUGGUGUAAAACUU
rnacentral:lncRNA from 1 species